GACAAAACCAAAACCAAAACCUCCUUUUGAGUUUUAACUAAGCAAACCCAGCUUAGAUCCAACCUCUGAAAUCUCCCUAUAUAUACCCCAAUUUCCUCGACCUAACGAUCUCUCAUUCUUUCAUUUCUUGAUCUUCUUCUUGUGCUUAUGUUGUUUGUGUUUGUUUAUCUUCUAAUAAAAUGAGCAAUAUACCCACUUCUCUCACAGAUUCUUCCUUUGCCCUGUUCUCUCUAGCCAUUUCUGCCUCUGACCCUUGGCCUUUCCCUCUUCUUCUCUAAUAUUUCACAACAAAACCCACUUUUUCUUGAUUUUCUUGUUUCUUGAUUCUUGAUUUUCUUGUUUUGUAUUGAUAGUUGUAGAUAUGGGGAGUACUGGAGAUAGAAACAACCAUUAUUUGAAUUCCAAUGCCAAUUUGCCACAUCUUCUUCACUUUCAUAAUCAGCAUCAUCAUCACCACGGAGGAAGCAAGAAAGAUUUGAAAGAUAUUCCAAAAGGGUGCUUGGCGAUCUUGGUGGGACAAGGUGAGGAGCAACAGAGGUUUGUUAUCCCUGUGAUUUACAUAAAUCAUCCACUUUUCAUUCAGCUCCUCAAAGAAGCUGAAGAAGAGUAUGGAUUUGAUCAAAAAGGCCCCAUAACUAUUCCUUGUCAUGUCGAGGAGUUUCGCAACGUUCAAGGCAUGAUCGACAGGGAAAACACCCACCACCACCACCAUCACCAUCUUUUAUGCUUUAGGAUUUGAUGUUUAUCAUGUGAUUGUGUAAAGUUUGCUGUUAAUUCAUCCCUUUAUUCU
rnacentral:misc_RNA from 1 species